rnacentral:rRNA from 1 species
AUUGAACGCUGGCGGCAGGCCUAACACAUGCAAGUCGAGCGAGCGGCGGACGGGUGAGUAAUGUAUGGGGACUGCCCGAUAGAGGGGGAUAACUACUGGAAACGGUAGCUAAUACCGCAUACUAUCGGAUAACCCAUAUGGGAUUAGCUAGUAGGUGAGGUAAUGGCUCACCUAGGCGACGAUCCCUAGCUGGUCGGAGAGGAUGAUCAGCGACACUGGGACGGGGACACGGACCAGACUACUACGGAGGCAGCAGGGGGGAACAUUGCACAAAGGGCGAGAGCCGGAUGCAGCCAGGCCGCGUGUAUUAAGAAGGCCCUAGGGUUGUAAAGUACUUUCAGUCGGGAGGCGUUAACGACAGAAGAAGCACCGGCUAACUCCGUGCCAGCAGCCGCGGUAAUAC